CUCUCUCUCUCUCAUAGCCGUUAGAAGCAAUGGUUGGAGACCACCGUAGUGAUGAGUAUAGGCUACCAUGAUGACGUCAUUGCGGUGGCAUGAGCGCCGUUGCACCCACUGUGCAGAGUGCGUAGCAGCGAUGAUGUCGCUAUGCACGGAGUGAGCGCAUCUCCACAAUUUGGGAAAAAUCUGGUGCUGCGAGAUCUGGAGGCUUGAGCAGUGGCGCGCACCCACUUUGAGACUAGAAGAUCUAUUUUUUUUUUUUUUUUUUUUUU
rnacentral:lncRNA from 1 species